rnacentral:rRNA from 1 species
ACAUUCAGUUGGGCACUCUAAUGAGACUGCCGGUGACAAACCGGAGGAAGGUGGGAUGACGUCAAGUCCUCAUGGCCCUUAUAGGUGGGGCUACACACGUCAUACAAUGGAUGGUACAAAGGGUCGCCAACCCGCGAGGGGGAGCCAAUCCCAUAAAGCCAUUCGUAGUCCGGAUCGCAGUCUGCAACUCGACUGCGUGAAGUCGGAAUCGCUAGUAAUCGUGGAUCAGAAUGUCACGGUGAAUACCGUUCCCGGGUCUU